CAUGGAAAGGACUGACAGGCUGAUAGCUCUUUCUUGAUACUGGGAAUGAUGGAGCAUUGCCAUUCAUAGGUGGCGGAGCGAUUUUGCCUGAUUAAUUUCAACAAUGAACAAGACUAUAGCAUGGUUAUGUAAACCCAGCUUAUGCUAGUAAUAAAACAACAACAACAAUUGAUUAUAUAUACUCC